GGAGCCUCCUCCUUCAGCUCUGCCCGGAGGGAAGAUUGCCCUCGUGCAGCCAGAGCCCUUCCCUUUCCUGUGAGGAAUCCCAGCUGCGGGAGUGAUGCUCUGGGGCUGGCACCCACGUACUUAAUGAGCAAAUAAAAAAAGAAUGCAAAUGAGAAGGAAGAGAGUAGGCAGAACAGGAAAAGUGAGGCAAGGGCUCCUUUCAUGUUGAAGGAUGCACAGGAACUGGAAGCAGAUGGGGCUGUUCUUGGGUCAUUAAUAAAACUGUUAAAUACCAUAGAGCCAAGAACUUAUCCCUGCAGAACCCAACUGGAAACACCCCCUCUUGAUGAUGAUUCCUCAUUUACAAUUGCAUUUUGAGAUUAUCAAUUAGCCAAUUUUUAAUCCAUUUUAUGUGUGCCAUGUUAAUUUCAUAUCAUUCUAUUUUUUUAAUCAAAGUGUGUGGUACCAAGUCGAACACCUUAGAGAACACUAUUACCAUUAUCAACCAAACUUGUAAUCUCAUAAAACAAAGAUAUCAAAUUAGUUUUUCAGGAUCUAUUUACCAUAAAAUCCUGUUGAUUGGCAUUAAUUUCAUUACCCUCCCAUCAUUCUUUAUUAAUCAAGUCCCACAUGAGCUGCUACAUUAUCUUGUGCAAGCUCUAUGUCAGGCUGACAGGCCUAUAUUUACUUGGGUCAUCCUGUUUACUCUUUUAAAAAUUGACACAGCAUUAGCUUUCUUCCAAUCUUCUAGAAGUCUUCCCCAAUGUGCUAAGACUUAUUGAAAAGUCAGCGUUACUAGUUCAGUAAGCUCCUGAGUCAGCAGUUCUGACU